AAAAAAAAAGGGGGGAAAGAGUAAUCGCACCGGUUCAAACCAAACCGGUGCGAAUUGUAAUAAAAAAAAAUGCCAUUGAGCCUUCUUUCUCAUUCAUUCCCCUCUUCUUUCUUUCUGUUUCCUCAGCGCCCUUUUAUCUCUCUCCUCAAACAAACCCUAAUCAACGACCUCCUGCUCCUUCCUUAUCUUCUUUCUCUUCUUCCUCUUUCAUGUUGUCAGCGCGUCGGUCGGUCCUAACAACGGCGGCAGUGGCGCAAGGAGCUGUGGAGCGAACCUGGGUAUGGGAUUUAACCUGGGUAUUGUGGCGAUGCGAAGGUUGGGUAUGGUGAUGAGUUUGAUGAUGAUGAGGUAAAGGAUGUCUCUUGAUAAUUUUUCUGCAUUUUCAUGAUAAUCUGACCCUAAUUA